UAAAAAAAAUCGACGAGGGAUACAGGUAAGCCCGUGCCCCGAUCACCUCCGCCUCCCGGAUCCGAUCCGCGCCCCGAUCCCCACCGCCUCCUGUCUCUGAGCUCCGAUUUGAUCCACCGCGUGUACGAGAGGCGGCUCGGAAUGUGGGCCGGAGGGCGAGGCGGCGCCUCUUGAAGCAGUGGCGAGCGACCGACCUGGCGCGGGCCUCACCGGCCGAUGCGGAGAGUUCAUCCGUCGUGUUUUUAAGGCGAGGAGUCGAGCAGUUUUCCGUUUCGUUUAGGAAUUAAUGGCAGUCGAGGGAGCACCGUGGCGGCGGAUGGUAGAGGCUGUGGUAUUUUGGUUUGGGGACUAUUGGAGGCUGGUUCUGGAAUUUUUCAGGAAGAGGAAUUCAUGAGCCGGCUAUUUGCAAUGGUACCAAUCAGGCUAUUAGGCGUGAGCUCCAUCUCAAUCCUAUAAAUAUGUUUUCUUUUCUUUGGUAGGAUCUUUUUUACAUUAGCCAAGGAGAAGCCCAGGCUGCGCGGCACGAGCACUAGCCCCACAUUCGGCCCUGCCUCUGGGCGCAGUCAAUGAGCUCGCCCUUGCUGCAACUCUUGUGCUUAGCAUAUAUAUCCUCGGUAUCAAAAUUCUGUCCAAAAGAAAUGGAUGGGCGCAGCAACGCGCGCCAUCCAUGAUCAAGUUCACGCUAAAGCUUCGACUACAGCGAGUGUUACGAGCAGGAGGUAGCUUUCGCCAAUGCUAGGCCACACGAAGAUCAACGUUGACGGAGCUUUUUCUCGAGAUGGUAUGGUGGCCGCGGCUGCUGCGGUCUGCAAAAAGGAGCUUGGAGAAUAUAUGGGAGCAUCGGCCAUUUGUUGUGCACAACGUAACUGAUCCAACAAGCAUGGAGGCCCUGGCCUGUCAGGAAGGUCUCUCUUGGCUGAAGAUCUCAACCUAGCAAGUGUCCAUAUGGCGUCAGAUUAUCAAGUGGUUAUCAAGGACAUUGAUCAGGGAACUAGUGCCCCGUAUGGUGCAAUCAUCCAGGAGGUUAUAGCACGGAAAUUGUCUAUGACUAGUUGUCAUCUCAUGUAUGAAAGUAGAAACUGCAACUUUGAGGCACAUCACCUUGCAAAGCACGCUUCGUCUUUAGAUGUCGGUCGUCACAUUUGGCUAGGUAUGCCUUAUGAUCCAGUUAAUAUCUCUGUAAACAUUAUUUCUUUAGAUGUCGGUCGUCACAUUUGGCUAGGUAUGCCUUAUGAUCCAGUUAAUAUCUCUGUAAACAUUAUUUCAGAGAUUUAAUAAAGCGUGUGUUUGCCUACAAAAAAGGCAAA